rnacentral:rRNA from 1 species
AUCAUGGCUCAGGACGAACGCUGGCGGCGUGCUUCAUACAUGCAAGUCGAACGAUAAGGUCUCUUCGGAGAUACAUAAGUGGCGGACGGGUGAGUAAUGUGUAGAGAAUCUGCCCUUUAGUGGGGGACAACAGAGGGAAACUUCUGCUAAUACCCCAUAUGCGCGUAGCUGAGAUGCUAUUCGUGAAAACUCCGGUGCUAAAGGAUGAGUCUGCAUCUGAUUAGCUAGUAGGCGGUGUAAUGGACCACCUAGGCGACGAUCAGUAGCUGGUUUGAGAGGAUGAUCAGCCACAAUGGGACUGAGACACGGCCCAUACUCCUACGGGAGGCAGCAGUAGGGAAUUUUGCGCAAUGGGGGAAACCCUGACGCCAGCAACGCCGCGUGAAUGAAGAAGCCCUUCGGGGUGUAAAGUUCUGUCAGUGGGGACGAAACUUGACGGUACCCACAGAGGAAGCAUCGGCUAACUCCGUGCCAGCAGCCGC